GAGCGAGUGCAGCUGGGGCCGGACUUGCUGGCUCUCGUCCGGCAUCGGCGUCGCGGCCGCCGCAGCAAAGGGGUCAGCUGGUUCCGACCACUCCCAACCCCUCGUCAUGUGUAACUCUCCGUGUAUUAAACUUACAGAGUUUAGUGGACAGCUUUAGACGCCAAAGCCCCACCCACCCUUUUGUAGUCUUCAAGCUGCUUUGAGAAACUUUUCUAAAACGAGGGUGCUAAGUAAGGCCGGACAGGAACACCCACUAACUUCUCAUGGAGCGUGAGGAAGGGAAAAUCCGCCAGAUCAGCAGAACUGUUAUGUUCUCAACAGUCAGUCGUAAACAAGGCCAGUGGAAGGCCCACGGAAAACAGUGUUGUUCCCAAGGCCACAUUGCAGCUCCGAAAUGACUGACACUGCGUGACUAAUUCUUUCUUAUCAAUGCCUUGCCCUGACUCCAUCCAUUCCUCUUACCUCCCAAACUGAGACUUCUGCUACCCAAUUGUUAAACCGACCGCUGCGUGACCAGAUCCAACCCUGACUUGAUUCUUGUUGCUCCUACCUUUCCCACCUUAGAAUCAUUUACACAAACCACACCCUGCAAAAAGCCCCCUCCCACAGCCUCUUACCACGGUUCAUUUAAUAUACACACUCCCUUGCUGCAGUGAGUAAAAACUAACACUGACUGGGUGACCUGGGGGUCUUCACCUGCAGGUGUAACCAGCCCGCAGCGUUUCAUAGAACAAAGUUGAAGACAAGCUGGACGAAAUGAUUACCUCCUACUGUAAAAUUCUGUGAGCUCACAGGAACGCUAUCACAAUGGAGGCCGGCUUGCGCGCUGAGCCGGCUGCCGCAGCUCUAAGUCAGUCACACAUUGCUGCUG